UAAUCUGUUACAAUUUGACAUCGUAAGACUAGUUGUUUGCAGGGACUGCUGUGCAAUCGGAUGUAGGCAGGCAACAACAUUGAGGAGAUCAUCAACAACAUCAGGCUGCAAACCGUAGCCUCUGAACUCUGCACAAAAGGAAGUUGCGAUGUUAACAGCAGACGCACAAUUGCUCUGCAGGCACUUCCCAUCUUCCUGCGUGAAGAUGCUGCUGGAUUUUUUAAGACCUGGAAUGCAGAAGACAUUGACCUGCCAGACCUCUCGGAUACAACUGUAGCUGUUCUCACUGUCUCGAAUGAUACAGUCUCCCUAGUGAAGUUUGGUCCUGCAAUACAUUCUAUAGUUCUUGAGGGAGAGAUUGUGGUAUGUGAUAAACUUUAGCACAGUUAACAGAGACAUUCAUUUUGCUUUUUGGCUUGAUUUAUGCACUACAUCUACAGUAUCCAAAGAAAUUGACAUAUACAUUCAAUUUUAUUCAGAAAGUUGUAAUGGG